rnacentral:tRNA from 5 species
GUGGCCCUCGGCCACCGGCCGGGCGGCACCGUUCUGGCCGGGGCGCGGGUCGUGCAGGAAGGCCGGUUCGAUGCCGAGCGGCCGCA